rnacentral:misc_RNA from 1 species
UUCUAGACUUUAAGCGUGUGUAUAAAAACGUAGUGCCGUCCUUCCCCCCCCAUUAGUCAGAGUUCAUUCACCUAACGAAAGGCUUCCGAGACCCCUUUUAAAUCAGGUUCAGAGACAACAACUACAAGUGUGCACAGGUGUGAGUGGAUGAGCAAUGAAUGUGCACAUGCCCCGAGAGGCCAGCGACAAUCCAUGUCAGAACUCGAUAAUGAUCCUUCCGCAGGUUCACCUACGGAAACCUUGUUACGACUUUUACUUCCUCUAAAUGACCAAGA